AGAGCCUAAACUUAAGUAAUAGGAUGUUAUUAUGUCAUAAGAGCAAAAGCUCACUGAAAAUGCUUCCAGUGUAUUAUCAGUUGACUGGUUGUGAUCUUU